UCUGUUGCCCCUUCUUUUUGGCUGGAUUCUCCCCCUCAGUCCUCACUCAGUGUCAUACCUUGACACCUUGUUGGUGCUGGGCUGUGUCUCUUCUGCUGACCCAAAGUCAAAUCCAUCAGCAGGAGCACACCUAUGCCUUGGCCCUGAGGAGCACGCUAACUAUUAGCAGCAAAGAAGCCAUCUUGUUUCGUCCAUCAAAGUUCCAAGAUUCAUUGGUUAUACACCAUACCCUGUACCUUUAGAGGGCUUCUUAAAACACUGAUGGCUGGGCCCCACUGCCAGAGUUCCUGAUAUGGAAGGUCUGAAUUGUGGCCUAAAUUUACAUUUCUAAUAGAUUCCAUGCUGAUGCUGAAGUUGCUCCCCCUGAGAUCACACUUCUAGAACAGAGCUCCGGAAAAUAGCCAUGUUCCUGCCUGUGUUCUCAAAGUUGAAUGUGCAUGUGAAUCUCCCGCUUAUCUUAUUAAAAUGUAUAUAAAACACAUGGGGACCCUGUGAAAAUCCAGCUUCUUAGUAAACCUGGUGAUGCCAAUUUCUCUGCUCUGGGGAACACACUCUGAGAAACAAAGAACUACAAUCUCUUAGUAUGAAUCCAUUUAUCAUACUAUUCCUUUCUUCAUGAGAAAAACUGGAUAGAGCUUGAAAGCACUGGGUUGGGGAAGGACUGUGAGGGAGAGGAGAACAAAAAAUUGAAGCUGGGGUGAAGCUCAGAAAGCAGGUGUCACGCUAAAGGCAAAAUAACCAACUUCACAAUUGGUCAUUCUGUCACUUUUUCUCCCAGGUAGUAUGAAAUGUAGACUUUUUAAUGGUUUAUAUCACAUUUAUCUAACUUUGAAAUUAAGUGUUCAGAGCCCAGUAGAUUUGAAAUAAAACAUUUUUACCUAUAUUCUCUGAAUGGGUUCUUGAUUUCUAAAAUUUCAAAAGGAAACAAUGGAAACUAGAGAAUUACUCCUUCUUUUUACAAAACGCUCAGUUACCUGUCUGUGU